GUGAGGAAUAUUGGUCAAUGGGCGAGAGCCUGAACCAGCCAAGUCGCGUGAAGGAAGAAGGAUCUAUGGUUCGUAAACUUCUUUUGCAGGGGAAUAAAGUGCGGGACGUGUCCUGUUUUGUAUGUACCCUGAGAAUAAGGAUCGGCUAACUCCGUGCCAGCAGCCGCGGUAAUACGGAGGAUCCGAGCGUUAUCCGGAUUUAUUGGGUUUAAAGGGUGCGUAGGUGGUUUGAUAAGUCAGCGGUGAAAGUUUGCAGCUUAACUGUAAAAAUGCCGUUGAAACUGUUGGACUUGAGUGUAAAUGAGGUAGGUGGAAUGCGUGGUGUAGCGGUGAAAUGCAUAGAUAUCACGCAGAACUCCGAUUGCGAAGGCAGCUUACUAAGCUACAACUGACACUGAAGCACGAAAGCGUGGGGAUCAAACAGGAUUAGAUACCCCAGUAGUCC
rnacentral:rRNA from 1 species